GCGCGAGUGGCGGAAUUGGUAGACGCGCAGGAUUUAGGAUCCUGUGUCUUGCGACGUGUGGGUUCGAGUCCCACCUUGCGCACUA
rnacentral:tRNA from 1 species